GGAUGUGAGGGCGAUCUAGCUGCCACACCUGUCACCCCACUGAUCACCAGGGUUGAUUUGGCUGAUCUGUCUGGAUAGGCGGGUGUCCUUUUCCUCCCUCACUGCUCCAAGUGCAUCCCUCUCAAAGCUUGGUCAAAGAGGACCACCUUCCCCCAGUAGAGACAGACAGGGUAUGCUAGUAGCUGCGCUCCCUGCUCGAACCUCCAAACAAGCUCUCAAAGCUUUGCUCUGUAUGCCACAUGCAAAUAAGUAGUUGAGCAGAGAGAGAGGGAGUCACUCAUUUCCACAUGAACAUCAAAACAAGAAUCUGUAAACCAGGGAGGAUUU
rnacentral:snRNA from 1 species